AUGGAGUCUGUGCUCGGCUGGGUUUUCCUUGUCGCUAUUUUAAAAGGUGUCCAGGGUGAGGUGCAGCUGGUGGAGUCUGGGGGAGACCUGGUGAAGCCUGGGGGGUCCCUGAGACUCUCCUGUGUGGCCUCCGGAUUCACCUUCAGUAGCUAUGCCAUGAGCUGGGUCCGCCAGGCUCCAGGGAAGGGGCUGCAGUGGGUCGCAGCUAUUAGCAGUGAUGGGAGUAGCACAUACUACACUGACGCUGUGAAGGGCCGAUUCACCAUCUCCAGAGACAACGCCAAGAACACGCUGUAUCUGCAGAUGAACAGCCUGAGAGCCGAGGACACGGCCGUGUAUUACUGUGCAAGGGACAUCGUGAAUCGACCUCAGUUUGAGCCCAGACACAAACCUACCUGUGCUGAUAUCAGCCCAGUGUUUGUGACCUCUACCUUCCCCGUGUUGAAACCUAUCACCCAUGUGAUGGACGGAGUUGGUGGGGACUUAGGGAAGCACUUAGUAUUCUGGAUCAGCCUCCCUCCUGCCCUCAUCACCACAGCUUUAUCUCCCCAUGGCAACAUCCACACCUCCUACGUCCAAAUGGUGGUCGAUUUUCUACGUGUCCACUUGCAGUUUUUGUUCUCCCAGACCUCUGAGUGA